rnacentral:rRNA from 1 species
UUGAACGCUGGCGGAAUGCUUUACACAUGCAAGUCGAACGGCAGCACGGGGGCAACCCUGGUGGCGAGUGGCGAACGGGUGAGUAAUACCUAGGAACAUGUCCAGUAAUGGGGGGUAACGCAGCGAAAGCUGUGCUAAUACCGCAUACGCCCCACGGGGGAAAGCGGGGGAUUCGUAAGAACCUCGCGUUAUUGGAGUGGCCUAGGCCUGAUUAGCUAGUUGGUGAGGUAAAGGCUCACCAAGGCGACGAUCAGUAGCUGGUCUGAGAGGAUGAUCAGCCACACUGGAACUGAGACACGGUCCAGACUCCUACGGGAGGCAGCAGUGGGGAAUUUUGGACAAUGGGCGAAAGCCUGAUCCAGCCAUUCCGCGUGAGUGAAGAAGGCCUUCGGGUUGUAAAGCCCUGUAAGGAGGGACGAAAAAAAUGACGGUACCUCCUAAGUAAGCACUGGCUAACUCCGU